rfam:Scleropages formosus scaffold8980, whole genome shotgun sequence.
GUCAGGAUGGCCGAGUGGUCUAAGGCGCUGCGUUUAGGUUGCAGUCUCCACUGGAGGCGUGGGUUCAAAUCCCACUCCUGACA